CACAUGCAAGUCGAGGGGAAACGACAUCGAAAGCUUGCUUUUGAUGGGCGUCGACCGGCGCACGGGUGAGUAACGCGUAUCCAACCUGCCCACCACUUGGGGAUAACCUUGCGAAAGUAAGACUAAUACCCAAUGACGUCUCUAGAAGACAUCUGAAAGAGAUUAAAGAUUUAUCGGUGAUGGAUGGGGAUGCGUCUGAUUAGCUUGUUGGCGGGGUAACGGCCCACCAAGGCGACGAUCAGUAGGGGUUCUGAGAGGAAGGUCCCCCACAUUGGAACUGAGACACGGUCCAAACUCCUACGGGAGGCAGCAGUGAGGAAUAUUGGUCAAUGGGCGAGAGCCUGAACCAGCCAAGCAGCGUGCAGGAUGACGGCCCUAUGGGUUGUAAACUGCUUUUAUAAGGGAAUAAAGUGAGUCUCGUGAGACUUUUUGCAUGUACCUUAUGAAUAAGGACCGGCUAAUUCCGUGCCAGCAGCCGCGGUAAUACGGAAGGUCCGGGCGUUAUCCGGAUUUAUUGGGUUUAAAGGGAGCGUAGGCCGGAGAUUAAGCGUGUUGUGAAAUGUAGACGCUCAACGUCUGCACUGCAGCGCGAACUGGUUUCCUUGAGUACGCACAAAGUGGGCGGAAUUCGUGGUGUAGCGGUGAAAUGCUUAGAUAUCACGAAGAACUCCGAUUGCGAAGGCAGCUCACUGGAGCGCAACUGACGCUGAAGCUCGAAAGUGCGGGUAUCGAACAGGAUUAGAUACCCUGGUAGUCCGCACGGUAAACGAUGGAUGCCCGCUGUUGGUCUGAAUAGGUCAGCGGCCAAGCGAAAGCAUUAAGCAUCCCACCUGGGGAGUACGCCGGCAACGGUGAAACUCAAAGGAAUUGACGGGG
rnacentral:rRNA from 1 species